rnacentral:rRNA from 1 species
CGGGACACGUGGUAUCCUGUCUGAAUAUGGGGGGACCAUCCUCCAAGGCUAAAUACUCCUGACUGACCGAUAGUGAACCAGUACCGUGAGGGAAAGGCGAAAAGAACCCCGGCGAGGGGAGUGAAAAAGAACCUGAAACCGUGUACGUACAAGCAGUGGGAGCACGCUUAGGCGUGUGACUGCGUACCUUUUGUAUAAUGGGUCAGCGACUUAUAUUCUGUAGCAAGGUUAACCGAAUAGGGGAGCCGAAGGGAAACCGAGUCUUAACUGGGCGUUAAGUUGCAGGGUAUAGACCCGAAACCCGGUGAUCUAGCCAUGGGCAGGUUGAAGGUUGGGUAACACUAACUGGAGGACCGAACCGACUAAUGUUGAAAAAUUAGCGGAUGACUUGUGGCUGGGGGUGAAAGGCCAAUCAAACCGGGAGAUAGCUGGUUCUCCCCGAAAGCUAUUUAGGUAGCGCCUCGUGAAUUCAUCUCCGGGGGUAGAGCACUGUUUCGGCAAGGGGGUCAUCCCGACUUACCAACCCGAUGCAAACUGCGAAUACCGGAGAAUGUUAUCACGGGAGACACACGGCGGGUGCUAACGUCCGUCGUGAAGAGGGAAA